rnacentral:rRNA from 1 species
UACGGAGGGUGCAAGCGUUGUCCGGAUUUACUGGGUGUAAAGGGCGUGUAGGCGGGGGAAUGUGUCAGGAGUGAAAUCGUGCGGCUUAACCGCGUCAAUUGCUUCUGAAACUGUUCCUCUUGAAUGCGGGAGAGGCAGAUGGAAUUCCAGGUGUAGCGGUGGAAUGCGUAGAUAUCUGGAAGAACACCGGUGGCGAAGGCGGUCUGCUGGUCCGUGAUUGACGCUGAGGCGCGAAAGUGUGGGGAGCAAACAGG